rnacentral:rRNA from 1 species
GGCCAGACUCCUACGGGAGGCAGCAGUGGGGAAUAUUGGGCAAUGGAGGCAACUCUUACCCAGCAAUGCCGCGUGAAUGAAGAAGGUCUUCGGAUUGUAAAGUUCUUUAAUUGGGGACGAAAAAAAUGACGGUACCCAAGGAAUAAGCCCCGGCUAACUACGUGCCAGCAGCCGCGGUAAUACGUAGGGGGCGAGCGUUAUCCGGAUUUACUGGGUGUAAAGGGAGCGUAGACGGUUAAUCAAGUCUGAAGUGAAAGCCCGCGGCUCAACUGCGGAACGGCUUUGGAAACUGAGUAACUGGAGUGCUGGAGGGGCAGGCGGAAUUCCUGGUGUAGCGGUGAAAUGCGUAGAUAUCAGGAGGAACACCGGUGGCGAAGGCGGCCUGCUGGACAGUAACUGACGUUGAGGCUCGAAAGCGUGGGGAGCAAACAGGAUUAGAUACCCCGGUAC